rnacentral:rRNA from 1 species
UACGUAGGGUCCAAGCGUUAUCCGGAAUUACUGGGCGUAAAGCGUGUGUAGGUGGCGCGUUAAGUGCAACGCGAAAUCCUGUGGCUCAACCAUAUGGACUGUGUUGCAUACUGGCGUGCUUGAGGAUGGCAGAGGCAAGUGGAAUUUGUAGUGUAGCAGUGAAAUGCGUAGAUAUUACAAGGAACACCAAUGGCGAAGGCAGCUUGCUGGGCCAUAUCUGACGCUGAGACACGAAAGCGUGGGGAGCGAACAGG